rnacentral:rRNA from 1 species
ACUCCUACGGGAGGCAGCAGUGAGGAAUAUUGGUCAAUGGGCGGGAGCCUGAACCAGCCAAGUCGCGUGAGGGAAGACGGUCCUAUGGAUUGUAAACCUCUUUUGCCGGGGAGCAACGGGGUCCUUGCGAGGGCCUGAUGAGAGUACCCGGAGAAAAAGCAUCGGCUAACUCCGUGCCAGCAGCCGCGGUAAUACGGAGGAUGCGAGCGUUAUCCGGAUUUAUUGGGUUUAAAGGGUGCGUAGGCGGGCUGUUAAGUCAGCGGUCAAAUGUCGGGGCUCAACCCCGGCCUGCCGUUGAAACUGGUGGCCUCGAGUGGGCGAGAAGUAUGCGGAAUGCGUGGUGUAGCGGUGAAAUGCAUAGAUAUCACGCAGAACUCCGAUUGCGAAGGCAGCAUACCGGCGCCCGACUGACGCUGAGGCACGAAAGCGUGGGUAUCGAACAGGAUUAGAUACCCUGGUAGUCCACGCAGUAAACGAUGAAUGCUAGCUGUCCGGGGCUUCGGUCCUGG